ACGAACGCUGGCGGCGUGCCUAAUACAUGCAAGUCGAACGAGAGCGACCGGUGCUUGCACUGGUCAAUCUAGUAGCGAACGGGUGAGUAACACGUGGGUAACCUGCCCAUCAGAGGGGGAUAACAUCCGGAAACGGAUGCUAAAACCGCAUAGGUCUUCGAACCGCAUGGUUUGAAGAGGAAAAGAGGCGCAAGCUUCUGCUGAUGGAUGGACCCGCGGUGCAUUAGCUAGUUGGUGAGGUAACGGCUCACCAAGGCCGUGAUGCAUAGCCGACCUGAGAGGGUGAUCGGCCACAUUGGGACUGAGACACGGCCCAAACUCCUACGGGAGGCAGCAGUAGGGAAUCUUCCGCAAUGGACGCAAGUCUGACGGAGCAACGCCGCGUGAGUGAAGAAGGUUUUCGGAUCGUAAAACUCUGUUGUUAGAGAAGAACAAGUGCUAGAGUAACUGUUAGCGCCUUGACGGUAUCUAACCAGAAAGCCACGGCUAACUACGUG
rnacentral:rRNA from 1 species